rnacentral:rRNA from 1 species
AACGAACGCUGGCGGCAGGCCUAACACAUGCAAGUCGAGCGAGGACUUCGGUUCUAGCGGCGGACGGGUGAGUAACGCGUGGGAAUGUGCCCUUCUCUACGGAAUAGUCCUGGGAAACUGGGAGUAAUACCGUAUACGCCCUAUUGGGGAAAGAUUUAUCGGAGAAGGAUCAGCCCGCGUUGGAUUAGGUAGUUGGUGGGGUAAUGGCCUACCAAGCCGACGAUCCAUAGCUGGUUUGAGAGGAUGAUCAGCCACACUGGGACUGAGACACGGCCCAGACUCCUACGGGAAGCAGCAGUGGGGAAUCUUAGACAAUGGGGGCAACCCUGAUCGAGCCAUGCCGCGUGAGUGAUGAAGGCCUUAGGGUUGUAAAGCUCUUUCAGCUGGGAAGAUAAUGACGGUACCAGCAGAAGAAGCCCCGGCUAACUCCGUG